CACGGGGGGAGCAAGCGUUGUUCGGAAUUACUGGGCGUAAAGGGCGCGUAGGCGGCCUGCUAAGUCGGAUGUGAAAUCCCUCGGCUCAACCGAGGAACUGCAUCCGAUACUGGCGGGCUUGAAUCCGGGAGAGGGAUGUGGAAUUCCAGGUGUAGCGGUGAAAUGCGUAGAUAUCUGGAGGAACACCGGUGGCGAAGGCGGCAUCCUGGACCGGUAUUGACGCUGAGGCGCGAAAGCUAGGGGAGCAAACGGG
rnacentral:rRNA from 1 species